GGCGGCGCAGCGGCGGCGCUGCGGAGCCCGAGUCCAGACGCCAGGCGGCCGCCGGCGCGCACGGCGCUUGCCAGCUCCCUCCCCCGAGUGCGCAGCCCGCCUCCUUCCGCGGUGCCUGCAGCGGCGGGCUUGCUCUCCCGUCCCGAGCGCACUCCGGGAGCUGCUCUGCGAGUGGCGCACGCAGAGUCCGCGACUUGGGGAUCGUGAGGCCGCGGCAUUCCGCCCGCGGUUACCAGCCCGCGAGCCAGAGCCCCAUGCGCACUCCUUUCGCCCGGGCAGUCGCCGUUGCUCCCUGGGGCUGAGACGUCCGCCCCGUCGCCUCCCCGCCCGGUGGCCGCGGCGAGAACCCAGCUGGUUGUGCCCUGUGGCCGGUCGCCACUGCUGAGUGGAAGCAAAAUGUCCGUCAGCGUACACGAGAACCGCAAGUCCAGGGCCAGCAGUGGCUCUAUUAACAUCUAUCUAUUCCACAAGUCCUCCUAUGCGGACAGUGUCCUCACUCACCUGAACCUGUUACGCCAGCAGCGUCUCUUCACCGACGUCCUUCUCCAUGCUGGAAACAGGACCUUCCCUUGUCACCGGGCAGUGCUGGCCGCGUGCAGCCGCUACUUCGAAGCCAUGUUCAGCGGCGGCCUGAAAGAGAGCCAGGACAGCGAAGUCAACUUCGACAACUCCAUCCAUCCGGAAGUCUUGGAGCUGCUCCUCGACUACGCGUACUCCUCCCGGGUCAUCAUCAAUGAAGAAAACGCGGAAUCGCUCCUGGAAGCUGGUGACAUGCUGGAGUUUCAGGACAUUCGCGAUGCUUGUGCCGAGUUCCUGGAGAAGAACCUGCACCCCACCAACUGCCUGGGCAUGCUGUUGCUGUCUGACGCACACCAGUGCACCAAGCUGUACGAGCUCUCCUGGAGGAUGUGUCUCAGCAACUUCCAGACCAUCAGGAAGAACGAAGAUUUCCUCCAGCUGCCCCAGGACAUGGUCGUGCAGCUCCUGUCCAGUGAAGAGCUGGAGACCGAAGACGAAAGGCUUGUGUACGAGUCUGCAAUUAACUGGAUCAGCUACGACCUGAAGAAGCGCUACUGCUACCUCCCAGAGCUGUUGCAGACGGUGAGGCUGGCUCUGCUGCCGGCCAUCUAUCUCAUGGAGAACGUGGCCAUGGAGGAACUCAUUACUAAGCAGAGGAAGAGCAAGGAGAUCGUGGAAGAGGCCAUCAGAUGCAAACUGAAAAUCCUGCAGAACGACGGCGUGGUAACCAGCCUCUGUGCCCGGCCCCGGAAAACCGGCCAUGCCCUCUUCCUCUUGGGAGGACAGACUUUCAUGUGUGACAAGCUGUAUUUGGUCGACCAGAAGGCCAAAGAGAUCAUUCCCAAGGCUGACAUCCCCAGCCCGAGAAAAGAGUUCAGUGCAUGUGCAAUUGGCUGCAAAGUAUACAUUACUGGGGGGCGAGGCUCUGAGAACGGAGUCUCGAAAGAUGUCUGGGUUUAUGAUACCCUGCAUGAGGAGUGGUCCAAGGCGGCCCCCAUGCUGGUGGCCAGGUUUGGCCAUGGCUCUGCUGAGCUGAAGCACUGCCUGUAUGUGGUUGGGGGGCACACCGCCGCCACUGGCUGCCUCCCGGCCUCCCCCUCAGUCUCUCUAAAGCAAGUAGAACAUUAUGACCCCACAACCAACAAAUGGACCAUGGUGGCCCCCCUCCGAGAAGGGGUCAGCAAUGCCGCAGUGGUGAGUGCCAAGCUCAAGCUGUUUGCUUUCGGAGGUACCAGCGUGAGUCAUGACAAGCUCCCCAAGGUUCAGUGUUACGAUCAAUGUGAAAAUAGGUGGACGGUCCCGGCCACCUGUCCCCAGCCGUGGCGUUACACGGCGGCAGCUGUGCUGGGUAACCAGAUUUUUAUUAUGGGGGGAGAUACCGAGUUCUCCGCCUGCUCUGCUUAUAAGUUCAAUAGUGAGACUUACCAGUGGACCAAGGUGGGAGACGUAACGGCAAAGCGCAUGAGCUGUCACGCUGUGGCCUCCGGAAACAAACUCUACGUGGUCGGAGGGUACUUUGGCAUCCAGCGAUGCAAAACUCUGGACUGCUAUGAUCCCACGCUGGAUGCGUGGAACAGCGUAACCACAGUCCCCUACUCGCUGAUCCCUACUGCCUUUGUCAGCACCUGGAAACAUCUGCCCUCUUAAACGCCACGCAUCUAAAGAGAGUAAGCGCGAGGUAAGCGUCAGUUGAGCUGUAAGUAUCCGUAUAGUUGAGCUAGCUGUGUAAGCGCGUAUGUAGAGUGAAACAGAUUCCGUACGGCCCAUCCUCUAGAAGUACUACACGAACGACGAAUAAAAGCCCUUGCACCCUGGAACUUAAACACGUGUGUUGACCACAGCUGCAACCCCUCAAAACCUGACUCCAUGCCUCGAUGAGACAAGAUGAGAUUUCUGCUUUGGCGAGGCCAAACUGAAUGAAGAGAAGGAAAAGAAAAAGGAAAAGAGGUUGCUACAAUCCAAUCCACCGCACCUUGUAAAUGCUUCUAACUGGACAUGAAGGAAGGGGUGGGGGAGGGGGUGGGGUUUCCAGUGCAAGUAGCACAUGGUUUAAAUAUGAAUGAACGAACCUGUGAUCUAGUCCUUGUCUUGUAAUUGUGGAUUAAUGUCCGCGUUAAUCAGCCCCUCAAAGGGAGAGGAAAGCCGGCCCUUUUCCCUUGCUGUACCAUAUUCAGCAUUUGAUUUCCACGGGCUCCACCAUUUAUGUGUAAAAUUUGAAAUGGCUGUCACCUCUCUCUGAGGAGCAAGCGUGAAGCCUCCACACCAGCUGCUGUUGGAGAGUGAAAGCCCGACUGUGAGGCCUGGAGGGAAGCUGGCUGGGCUGGCUACAGAGUGAGGACCACUGGACUCCACGCGAAUCUCCGAGGGGCUGCGCUCCCCAGGAACGUUUCUGAACAAUGGGGACAUUGUUGGUAGCUGUUUGGUAGAUGUUCUUUUCUAUUUAUAAGUGACUUUAAACUUUCCCUUGGCUGGUAAGAAAUUUGUUGUAGAUUUAGCUAUUUAUUGUUUAAGGCCUGCAUGUGGAAACAAUGCUUACAGUUCUCUUCACGUGUACGGACGCGUGUGAAUGGUUGUACGUUUUGCACAAUUUUGUGGCUGUUGUGUUGUGCUCUGCUGCACAGAAGUGAAAACUUUGGAGUUACAAUUAGGAGUAUAACUGGAGGGUGGGAUGGGAAGGGUGGGGGGGAUUUUGUAAAUGUCAAGACAGGGAAGGAUUAUAAGACGGAGACAAGUUACAUCCUAGAGGUAGAGAAAGCAGGAAGGUCAUUUUUCUUAGACUUACCAACUUUGAAUGGGGUUUCGUGGGCUCUGGUCCUGCUGAUGGCUCCCAGGGCAAGGGAAGGCUUCUUUCUGCCCUUCUCCUUCCUGUCCGAUUCACUUGCUUCAAUCUCAGCUGCUGAAAUGUAGAAAGGACCAAAUCACUUGGCAGGUUUUUUUUUUUUUUUUU